GAUGAACGCUGGCGGCGUGCCUAAUACAUGCAAGUCGAGCGAACAGACGAGGAGCUUGCUCCUCUGACGUUAGCGGCGGACGGGUGAGUAACACGUGGAUAACCUACCUAUAAGACUGGGAUAACUUCGGGAAACCGGAGCUAAUACCGGAUAAUAUAUUGAACCGCAUGGUUCAAUAGUGAAAGACGGUUUUGCUGUCACUUAUAGAUGGAUCCGCGCCGCAUUAGCUAGUUGGUAAGGUAACGGCUUACCAAGGCGACGAUGCGUAGCCGACCUGAGCGGGUGAUCGGCCACACUGGAACUGAGACACGGUCCAGACUCCUACGGGAGGCAGCAGUAGGAAAUCUUCCGCAAUGGGCGAAAGCCUGACGGAGCAACGCCGCGUGAGUGAUGAAGGUCUUCGGAUCGUAAAACUCUGUUAUUAGGGAAGAACAAAUGUGUAAGUAACUAUGCACGUCUUGACGGUACCUAAUCAGAAAGCCACGGCUAACUACGUG
rnacentral:rRNA from 1 species